UGUGUGUGUGUGUGUGUGGGUGAGUGUAGCAUGUGUGCGUGUGUGUGUGGGUGUGGGUGGGUGCGGGUGAGUGUAGUAUGUGUGCGUGUGAUAGACUCGCUUUCCCCCGCCAGCACCCUCCACGCCUGAGAUCGGAGCUCGGGGUUUCAGAGUACGGCUUAAACCCCACACCCUCACUCACCCGGAUGGCGGACAGAACCCCCGAACCCCCGACUGACACCUGGUACCUUUUCAGUGCUGAGUGAACAGGGGUCACGAAUUAUAGGAGAUUUCCCAUCUGUCUCCGCUCCUCCCGGGAAUCGAGCACGGGACCUCUAGGUUGUAAGGCGAGCGCGCUAACCAUUGCCCUCAUUACACUGUGUGGGUGUGGGUGUGCUUUUCAUUACUUAUUUGUGGGCCUCUAGAGCUCCGUGAAGCCAGAAGUUGACGGAUUUCCCAGCUUUGCCUCCUCGUGCUCCUGCGGGUGAAGCCAGGCGAAUAGGAUUAUUACUUGAGCUCGAGAGCCCCUUGCAAGCUUCAUGCUCCCGAGACGACUUCAUCUGCUUACAUGAAAAUCCUGAUGACCAUCCCUGAAGCUGAAGGGCUGGGCGGCGCCGGUCCUCGACUUUGGAAUGACCUUCCGAAAACAUUAUUCAACAGGAGGCCAUGCGUGGACAGGGGUUGAGGAAAUGCGAAUCUUCUCACAACCGCGCGCCAUGAAUGCCUUAAUGUAUAAAUCAUUAAUAAUAUUACUAAUAUGUAUAGUUUCAAGAAGAUAUUAGCGUUGGCAAUUGGAA